ensembl:rRNA 5S_rRNA 5S ribosomal RNA
CCCUUUAUUUCUCUUUCUAAUUUUUCUAUCUCUGUCUGAUCUCAGAAGGUAAACAGGGUCUGGCCUGAUCAGUACUUGGAUUGGAGACCUCCUGGGAAUACCAGGUGCUGUAGGGU